rnacentral:rRNA from 1 species
GGUUAAGCGACUAAGCGUACACGGUGGAUGCCCUGGCAGUCAGAGGCGAUGAAGGACGUGCUAAUCUGCGAAAAGCGCCGGCGAGGUGAUAUGAACCUUUGACCCGGCGAUGUCCGAAUGGGGAAACCCAGUGCAAUCCGUUGCACUAUCGUUAACUGAAUACAUAGGUUAACGAGGCGAACCGGGGGAACUGAAACAUCUAAGUACCCCGAGGAAAAGAAAUCAACCGAGAUUCCCCCAGUAGCGGCGAGCGAACGGGGAGCAGCCCGGAGUCUGAAUCAGCUUGUGUGUUAGUGGAACGGUCUGGAAAGUCCGACGGUACAGGGUGAUAGUCCCGUACACGAAAAUGCACAUGCUGUGAACUCGAAGAGUAGGGCGGGACACGUGGUAUCCUGUCUGAAUAUGGGGGGACCAUCCUCCAAGGCUAAAUACUCCUGACUGACCGAUAGUGAACCAGUACCGUGAGGGAAAGGCGAAAAGAACCCCGGCGAGGGGAGUGAAAAAGAACCUGAAACCGUGUACGUACAAGCAGUGGGAGCCUCUUUAUGGGGUGACUGCGUACCUUUUGUAUAAUGGGUCAGCGACUUAUAUUCUGUAGCAAGGUUAACCGUAUAGGGGAGCCGAAGGGAAACCGAGUCUUAACUGGGCGUUAAGUUGCAGGGUAUAGACCCGAAACCCGGUGAUCUAGCCAUGGGCAGGUUGAAGGUUGGGUAACACUAACUGGAGGACCGAACCGACUAAUGUUGAAAAAUUAGCGGAUGACCUGUGGCUGGGGGUGAAAGGCCAAUCAAACCGGGAGAUAGCUGGUUCUCCCCGAAAGCUAUUUAGGUAGCGCCUCGUGAACUCAUCUUCGGGGGUAGAGCACUGUUUCGGCUAGGGGGCCAUCCCGGCUUACCAACCCGAUGCAAACUACGAAUACCGAAGAAUGUUAUCACGGGAGACACACGGCGGGUGCUAACGUCCGUCGUGAAGAGGGAAACAACCCAGACCGCCAGCUAAGGUCCCAAAGUCAUGGUUAAGUGGGAAACGAUGUGGGAAGGCACAGACAGCCAGGAUGUUGGCUUAGAAGCAGCCAUCAUUUAAAGAAAGCGUAAUAGCUCACUGGUCGAGUCGGCCUGCGCGGAAGAUGUAACGGGGCUAAACCAUGCACCGAAGCUGCGGCAGCGACACUAUGUGUUGUUGGGUAGGGGAGCGUUCUGUAAGCCGUUGAAGGUGUGCUGUGAGGCAUGCUGGAGGUAUCAGAAGUGCGAAUGCUGACAUAAGUAACGAUAAAGCGGGUGAAAAGCCCGCUCGCCGGAAGACCAAGGGUUCCUGUCCAACGUUAAUCGGGGCAGGGUGAGUCGACCCCUAAGGCGAGGCCGAAAGGCGUAGUCGAUGGGAAACAGGUUAAUAUUCCUGUACUUGGUGUUACUGCGAAGGGGGGACGGAGAAGGCUAUGUCAGCCGGGCGACGGUUGUCCCGGUUUAAGCAUGUAGGCGGAGGUUCCAGGUAAAUCCGGUACCUUAUUAACGCUGAGGUGUGAUGACGAGGCACUACGGUGCUGAAGUGAUAAAUGCCCUGCUUCCAGGAAAAGCCUCUAAGCAUCAGGUAACACGAAAUCGUACCCCAAACCGACACAGGUGGUCAGGUAGAGAAUACCAAGGCGCUUGAGAGAACUCGGGUGAAGGAACUAGGCAAAAUGGUGCCGUAACUUCGGGAGAAGGCACGCUGAUAUGUAGGUGAAGCCCCUGCGGGCGGAGCUGAAAUCAGUCGAAGAUACCAGCUGGCUGCAACUGUUUAUUAAAAACACAGCACUGUGCAAACACGAAAGUGGACGUAUACGGUGUGACGCCUGCCCGGUGCCGGAAGGUUAAUUGAUGGGGUUAGCGGCAACGCGAAGCUCUUGAUCGAAGCCCCGGUAAACGGCGGCCGUAACUAUAACGGUCCUAAGGUAGCGAAAUUCCUUGUCGGGUAAGUUCCGACCUGCACGAAUGGCGUAAUGAUGGCCAGGCUGUCUCCACCCGAGACUCAGUGAAAUUGAACUCGCUGUGAAGAUGCAGUGUACCCGCGGCAAGACGGAAAGACCCCGUGAACCUUUACUAUAGCUUGACACUGAACACUGGUCCUUGAUGUGUAGGAUAGGUGGGAGGCUUUGAAGCGUGGACGCCAGUCUGCGUGGAGCCAACCUUGAAAUACCACCCUUUAAUGGCUGGUGUUCUAACGU